rnacentral:rRNA from 1 species
ACAGCGGCGAACGGGUGAGUAACACGUGGGUAAUCAACCCCCGACACCGGGAUAGCCCAGGGAAACUUGGAUUAAUACCGGAUACCCCGUCCGGCCUUCGGGCCGGCCGGAAAAGGGUAGCUUCGGCCUCCGGUCAGGGACGAGCCCGCGGCGGAUUAGCUUGUUGGUGGGGUAAAGGCCCACCAAGGCGACGAUCCGUAGCUGGUCUGAGAGGACGAUCAGCCACACUGGGACUGAGACACGGCCCAG